rnacentral:rRNA from 1 species
GGGUAACGGGGUGUUAGGGCACGACACCGGAGAGGGAGCCUGAGAAACGGCUACCACAUCCAAGGAUGGCAGUAGGCGCGCAAAUUACCUAAUCCCGACACGGGGAGGUAGUGACAAUAAAUAACAAUACGGGGUCCUUUCGGGUUUCGUAAUUGGAAUGAGUACAAUUUAAAUCUCUUAACGAGGAACAAUUGGAGGGCAAGUCUGGUGCCAGCAGCCGCGGUAAUUCCAGCUCCAAUAGCGUAUAUUAAAGUUGUUGCAGUUAAAAAGCUCGUAGUUGAAUUUCGGGAUUAGUGCGCCGGUCGUGCCUUCGGUAUGUACUGGUGUUACUGGUUCCUACCUUCUGACGAACCGUCAUGUCAUUCAUUUGGUGUGGCGGGGAAUCAGGACUGUUACUUUGAAAAAAUUAGAGUGUUUAAAGCAGGCUCGCGCUUGAAUACAUUAGCAUGGAAUAAUGAAAUAGGACGUUCGAUCCUAUUUUGUUGGUUUCUAGGAUUGACGUAAUGAUUAAUAGGGAUAGUUGGGGGCAUUAGUAUUCAAUUGUCAGAGGUGAAAUUCUUGGAUUUAUUGAAGACUAACUACUGCGAAAGCAUUUGCCAAGGAUGUUUUCAUUAAUCAAGAACGAAAGUUAGGGGAUCGAAGACGAUCAGAUACC